rnacentral:tRNA from 18 species
GCGGAAAUAGCUCAGUUGGUAGAGCACGACCUUGCCAAGGUCGGGGUCGCGAGUUCGAGUCUCGUUUUCCGCUCCA